GAUGAACGCUGGCGGCGUGCCUAAUACAUGCAAGUCGAGCGAACAGACGAGGAGCUUGCUCCUCUGACGUUAGCGGCGGACGGGUGAGUAACACGUGGAUAACCUACCUAUAGGACUGGGAUAACUUCGGGAAACCGGAGCUAAUACCGGAUAAUAUAUUGAACCGCAUGGUUCAAUAGUGAAAGACGGUUUUGCUGUCACUUAUAGCUGGAUCCGCGCCGCAUUAGCUAGUUGGUAAGGUAACGGCUUACCAAGGCAACGAUGCGUAGCCGACCUGAGAGGGUGUUCGGCCACACUGGGACUGAGACACGGUCCAGACUCCUACGGGAGGCAGCAGUAGGGAAUCUUCCGCAAUGGGCGAAAGAUUGACGGAGCAACGCCGCGUGAGUGAUGAAGGUCUUCGGAUCGUAAAACUCUGUUAUUAGGGAAGAACAAAUGUGUAAGUAACUAUGCACGUCUUGACGGUACCUAAUCAGAAAGCCACGGCUAACUACGUG
rnacentral:rRNA from 1 species